rnacentral:misc_RNA from 1 species
GAUGAAGAACGCAGCGAAAUGCGAUAAGUAAUGUGAAUUGCAGAACUCAGUGAAUCAUCGAAUCUUUGAACGCACAUUGCGCCCGCCAGUAUUCUGGCGGGCAUGCCUGUCCGAGCGUCAUUUCAACCCUCGAACCCCUCCGGGGGGUCGGCGUUGGGGAUCGGCCCUUUACGGGGCCGGCCCCGAAAUACAGUGGCGGUCUCGCCGCAGCCUCUCCUGCGCAGUAGUUUGCACACUCGCAUCGGGAGCGCGGCGCGUCCACAGCCGUUAAACACCCCAAACUUCUGAAAUGUUGACCUCGGAUCAGGUAGGAAUACCCGCUGAACUUAAGCAUAUCAAUAAGCGGAGGA